GUAAGGUGGCAAGCGUUGUCCGGAAUUAUUGGGCGUAAAGCGCGCGCAGGCGGUUCUUUAAGUCUGAUGUGAAAGCCCACGGCUCAACCGUGGAGGGUCAUUGGAAACUGGAGAACUUGAGUACAGAAGAGGAAAGCGGAAUUCCACGUGUAGCGGUGAAAUGCGUAGAGAUGUGGAGGAACACCAGUGGCGAAGGCGGCUUUCUGGUCUGUAACUGACGCUGAGGCGCGAAAGCGUGGGGAGCAAACAGGGAUUAGAUACCCUGGUAGUCCACGCCGUAAACGAUGAGUGCUAAGUGUUAGGGGGGUUUCCGCCCCCUUAGUGCUGCAGCUAACGCAUUAAGCACUCCGCCUGGGGAUACGGCCGCAAGGCUG
rnacentral:rRNA from 1 species